ensembl:snRNA
CUGUUGUCUGAAAGGAGAAGGUUAGCACUCACCCUUGACAAGGAUGGAAGAGACCCUUGGUCCUUACGACAUGCAUACUAUUAAGGCACUGUCACCUACUUUGUGGCAUCUAACCACCUGUUUUU